CCAAUUCAAAUCUCUAGUCACCUUGAAAAUAGAUAUACGGUUGAACUUAAAAGAGGAAAUACAUAGAACAUCUUUGAGCAAAUCACCUCUAUUCAAGUGAUAAUUCCAUACAUAAGUAAUUUGUGCAGAGUUCCAUGUGGACCAGUAUCCUAUACUUAAACGCCAUUCAACAAUAAGUGCUUAAUACUAGCCAUGUUAUUAGUUGCCCAUGUAUCUAGUAUCCAAGUAGCACAUGACUUAGGCAAAGAAAAAGAUAUUUUAGCACUUAUAAUGACCCGGCUGGUCGUUUUAUGAUUUACUACUCUGUUUCUCCCCUUUUCUGCUUCUUUAUAUGUUGUUCAGCUAUAUUUUAUCGUAUCAUGUUGUUAGUUUGGGUUUAGAGUGGUUUUGUAGAGAAAUGAGACACUUAGUCUCAUAAGUUGGCCUUUUAGUUGGAACAGUCAACCGGAAGUUGGCUUGUGAGUAAACGAUCUCGGAAUUUGGCUUUUUAUGGUUAUGAUAGCUUGUGAGGUGAUUUGGGACUUAGGAGCGCGAUCUGAAUGGGUUUUAGAGGUUUAGGGUAGACUUAGGCUUGAAUUGCGGAAAUUGAAAUUUUGGCAUUUUCCGGUUGGUAGCAGAGUUUUUGGUAUAUGGUCACAAUGGAAUUUCAAAUAUUGGAGUAGGUCUGUUGUGUCAUUUGGGACGUGUGUACAAAAAUUUAGGUUAUUCGGACGAGGUUGGGUAGACUUUUUUAUCAAAAGCAGAAUUUAAAAUUUUUGGAAUUUCUUUGCUUGAAUGCGAUGAUGAUUUGAUGUUUUGAGUGUUCCAAAGGUUGGAACAAGUUUUAAUAAUGUUAUAGGAUGUAUUGGAAUGUUUGGUUGAGGUCCCAAGGGACUAGGUAAGCUUCAGAUAGUUUAACGGAUCAAACUUUAUUUUGAGAAGUUGCAGAUUUUCUGCUUUGUGUGUGCUGAGCUAUGGCUUUCACAUUCGCGAGAGGGCUCUCGCAUUCGCGAAGGGAUGAGAAGUGACGUAGGAAAUUUGUCCUUUACAUUUGCAAUGUUGGUCCUGCAUUCGCAAAGGGUGAGGCUUAGUGUGCAACAUGAACGCGAUGUAGGUCCCGUGUUCGUGUAGAGUAAUUGGAGUAGCUGGAGGUCCUGGUAAUUUGUGCUUCGCGUUUGCGCUGGGUGUGUCACGUUCGUGAUGGUCAAUGGGUUUUUAUUCUUCGCAAACGCGAGGCUUUGACCGCGUUCAUGAAGUAGGAUAUGUCACCAGAGCAGAAUGUUUAAAAUUGCCACAAUCAUUGAUAUUUAGAUACACAAGAUACUCCUUCAAUUUAGCACAAUCACAAGAAGGAAGAGGCCCAAUACAUAGAAUCAUAGUCAUAGAGAUCCUUCAAUUUGAAAUAAUACACCAAAACAGACGACAUGUCAUGUGUUAAUAUAAAAUUCCCUUUAUGCAGGCAGUGUAUGCGACAUGCAUUCACCUUGUCAAGUCAUUCAUGCAAAUCUUCCCAAAUUGCACGAGAACUAGAUCUAAGAAAAACUCUACUCAAUUGAUCCCGGCUCACAUUAUGUAUCAAAUAUGAUUUGAAACUUUAAUUGUGUUGAUCCCAGAUACUCCUGAACGGAGCUCCAUAACGGCUCUGGUUAUCAAACCAUCGGCAAAACCUAACUUGUUCCUUGUCAAUAAAGAAACCUCCAUAGCUUGGUUGAUUAGCUGAAUUCUAAGAGAAAGCAAACCAGUAGCAUCAGAAGGACGCAAGUGUAAUGGAUAAUUGUGAUCAAUCACAGUCACUCCUGUAGUAGCAGCAGCAGUUAUGCCCCGGUCAUUUAAAAUAUCAUUCGCCGUGAAAAUUAGGGCACAAAAUAACUCAGAGGAAAAUAAAAAUGGCUCUUCAACUAAUCCGUGAAGAAAAUCCCUAGAUUCACUCAAGUGAAAGCUCUGAUAAUACGUUAAAUCCAGCUAAACUAAGGAAUUGAAUAGAGAAGAUUCAAAGUGGAGAAUAAGAGAAAGCUUGGGAAGAAGUUGUACAUGGAGAAAAUUACAAUUGUUCUAUUGAGUCUUCUAUCUAAUAUAGGUAUUACUUAUACUUUU
rnacentral:lncRNA from 1 species